UCCCCUAGUAACGGCGAGUGAACCGGGAAGAGCUCAAAUUUGAAAUCUGGCAGUCUUCGAUUGUCCGAGUUGUAAUCUAUAGAAGCGUUUUCCGUGCUGAACUGUGUAUAAGUCCCUUGGAACAGGGUAUCAAAGAGGGUGACAAUCCCGUACUUUACACAAUCAUCAGUGCUCUGUGAUACGUUCUCUACGAGUCGAGUUGUUUGGGAAUGCAGCUCAAAAUGGGUGGUAAAUUCCAUCUAAAGCUAAAUAUUGGCGAGAGACCGAUAGCGAACAAGUACCGUGAGGGAAAGAUGAAAAGCACUUUGGAAAGAGAGUUAAACAGUACGUGAAAUUGUUGAAAGGGAAACGAACGCUACGUAUCAUGUUUAUUGGACUCAGCCGAUCUUCGGUGUACUUCCUUUAAACGGGUCAACAUCAGUUUUGUCCGAUGGAUAAAGGUAGUAGGAAGGUGGCUCUCUCGGGAGUGUUAUAGCCUAUUGCCGCAUACAUUGGAUGAGACUGAGGACUGCAGCUUGCCUUUAUGGCCGGGGUUCGCCCACGUUCAAGCUUAGGAUGUUGACAUAUACUCGAGCGCACG
rnacentral:rRNA from 1 species